rnacentral:tRNA from 1 species
AAACCGGUAGCUUAGUUGGCAAAGCAUCUGACUUUUAAUCAGAGGAGCGUGGGUUCGAGUCCCACUCGGUUUA